UCGGAUGUGAAAUCCCCGGGCUCAACCUGGGAACUGCAUUCGAAACUGGCAGGCUAGAGUCUUGUAGAGGGGGGUAGAAUUUCCAGGUGUAGCGGUGAAAUGCGUAGAGAUCUGGAGGAAUACCGGUGGCGAAGGCGGCCCCCUGGACAAAGACUGACGCUCAGGUGCGAAAGCGUGGGGAGCAAACAGGAUUAGAUACCCUGGUAGUCCACGCCGUAAACGAUGUCGACUUGGAGGUUGUGCCCUUGAGGCGUGGCUUCCGGAGCUAACGCGUUAAGUCGACCGCCUGGGGAGUACGGCCGCAAGGUUAAAACUCAAAUGAAUUGACGGGGGCCCGCACAAGCGGUGGAGCAUGUGGUUUAAUUCGAUGCAACGCGAAGAACCUUACCUACUCUUGACAUCCAGAGAACUUUCCAGAGAUGGAUUGGUGCCUUCGGGAACUCUGAGACAGGUGCUGCAUGGCUGUCGUCAGCUCGUGUUGUGAAAUGUUGGGUUAAGUCCCGCAACGAGCGCAACCCUUAUCCUUUGUUGCCAGCGGUCCGGCCGGGAACUCAAAGGAGACUGCCAGUGAUAAACUGGAGGAAGGUGGGGAUGACGUCAAGUCAUCAUGGCCCUUACGAGUAGGGCUACACACGUGCUACAAUGGCGCAUACAAAGAGAAGCGACCUCGCGAGAGCAAGCGGACCUCAUAAAGUGCGUCGUAGUCCGGAUUGGAGUCUGCAACUCGACUCCAUGAAGUCGGAAUCGCUAGUAAUCGUAGAUCAGAAUGCUACGGUGAAUACGUUCCCGGGCCUUGUACACACCGCCCGUCACACCAUGGGAGUGGGUUGCAAAAGAAGUAGGUAGCUUAACCUUCGGGAGGGCGCUAC
rnacentral:rRNA from 1 species